GUAUGGUACGAGUGCUGCCGCGGUUUGCGAAGAAACUCGGAGAUGGAGACGGGUGCCAUGGGUUUUGUCGGUUCCUGCUUAUGAACGCGUCGAGCUGAGCUUGGACGCUGUAGUAAAGUUAUGGAGGAGCGUUCAAGCGGUCUGCGGGGAAAACUGGUGAUCGGCAGGUGCAUCGCCUACGGCUCGUCUGGGCUUGUCUAUGAAAGCGUCGACUUGAGUUUCGACGCUUCGAUCACGCGCCGUGAACCGUUGUCAAGUGCACUCGUCUUGCAAGCUGCAUACGACUAGGCAUGUUUACACAUUUUAUACCGCAAUCGCUGUACUGGCGUCCCGAAACACUCACUUGCAGAUGUUUCUCUUGGAAAACGAGCUCGAAAACUCCUCGUGAGCUCGAUGAGCGAUAAAGCUCGGCUGCGGGCUCCGUUCAAAGGCUGCCACGGUCCAGCUCGGUGCAGUGGUCGCGGUGCUGCCUGUCCUUAGGGCGCUCAAACCGUUCCGAGCGGCUAAAGAGCCGGCUCGCUGAAAAAGCAUCAGGUAGUGUCACUGUAUUCGCGACUCGGUGGCUGAGUUCUUGUGCGAUGUGUCGAGCGAGAGAAUCGGAGAACGUCUGCCGGUUUCGUCCGUCAGGGAGGUUUUGGUUACCGGGGCAGGUCGCUGCAGUGCCGACUGCUGAAACGCGGCCUUUGCAUGCCCAUAACAAAGUCCAAACUUUCUGUGAGCCAGUACGCAUCUUUGUCCUUCUACGCAUCGGCGAUUGAUUCGGAUAUUGUCGUUUACUGAAACGGUUCAAUGCCAGCAGCUAUUCGGAUUUCAUCCUGGACAGCACCGAAACUCGACCUGCAUCACAUGCUCUGAGACUUUCAGAGCGUGCGCUCGAUGCGGAGCAUGAACCUGUGGAGCCGCUCCACCGCUGUCGAGUGCGGCAGCAUGCGCGCGUUCAUGAUGCACCCGGCUUUUUUGCCCCGUGACGAGCUCUUUUUUUAGAUGGGCUAUGAGGCGCCACCGUGGACAAGUCGCAGCAUACCACGCCUCGGGAGACGCAUCGUCAACUGCUUGCUCCGGAGAGCGGCUCAUCGUGACCGUCCUGCAAUCGCACGGUUCCGGUAUUCAUGAGCCAACGUACGCGACUUGACGUGAUGUAGGGCGCUUGACCCUAACCAGGCAAUUCUGGAGACGCGAACGCUACGAGCAAUCAGGGAAGAGACCAUCACGACUCAACGAAAGAUUUCACGUUCCGCGAAGCGUAGGAUCAUAUCCUAACGCCGCGAUGGCUGGCGCUCUCAAGGACAUCGUUUGCUCGCAUGCCUCCUUGCCAUUACGGACAGGCGGACUGGAAGCCUAUCGGUUUUGUCUGCAAAAUCGUUUAGAAUUCGGGUUUCGUGCUGAGCUGAACAAGGCUACACGCUUGGAUGGUCUAUGCGAUAUCCUGAAACGACUUGUGCAGUCAUCAUCCCGUAGAGUUCAAGUAAACAUCGGCACCGCCACGUGAUAAACCGCCGCACU